rnacentral:rRNA from 1 species
UACGUAGGGGGCGAGCGUUGUCCGAAGUUACUGGGGCGGUAAAGAGUGCGUAGGCGGCUUGACAAGUUGCAUCUAAAAGGCGACAGCUCAACUGACGAGUGCGGUGCAAGACUGUAAAGCUUGAGGCAAGCAAAAGAAUGUGGAACUCCGAGUGUAGCGGUGGAAUGCGUAGAGAUUCGGAAGAGCACCCAUGGCGAAGGCAGCAUUCCUGGGCUUGACCUGACGCUGGAGGCACGAAAGCCAGGGGAG